CAGAGACACACCCUUCUAGGAGACAUCCGUCCGAAGGUGGCAGAGACACCAAGUCCUGGCCCAGACCUAAGCAACCAGAUAAGUAAAAUUGUGAUUCAAAGAGGCCCUGGGAUCACCUGCGAAGAUCCUGGGAUUCAUCAGGGGUCUGGCUGUACUCAAACUCAAGCCCAGACUCAAGACCAGGCUGCUCUCAAACUCAAGCUGGAUCACCUCAAGCAAUCCUCCCACCUUGGCCUCCUGAAAU